rnacentral:rRNA from 1 species
GGGGGGCAUGCUAUAAUGCAGUCGAGCGGACAGAUGGGAGCUUGCUCCCUGAUGUUAGCGGCGGACGGGUGAGUAACACGUGGGUAACCUGCCUGUAAGACUGGGAUAACUCCGGGAAACCGGGGCUAAUACCGGAUGCUUGAUUGAACCGCAUGGUUCAAUUAUAAAAGGUGGCUUUUAGCUACCACUUACAGAUGGACCCGCGGCGCAUUAGCUAGUUGGUGAGGUAACGGCUCACCAAGGCAACGAUGCGUAGCCGACCUGAGAGGGUGAUCGGCCACACUGGGACUGAGACACGGCCCAGACUCCUACGGGAGGCAGCAGUAGGGAAUCUUCCGCAAUGGACGAAAGUCUGACGGAGCAACGCCGCGUGAGUGAUGAAGGUUUUCGGAUCGUAAAACUCUGUUGUUAGGGAAGAACAAGUACCGUUCGAAUAGGGCGGUACCUUGACGGUACCUAACCAGAAAGCCACGGCUAACUACGUGCCAGCAGCCGCGGUAAUACGUAGGUGGCAAGCGUUGUCCGGAAUUAUUGGGCGUAAAGCGCGCGCAGGCGGUUUCUUAAGUCUGAUGUGAAAGCCCCCGGCUCAACCGGGGAGGGUCAUUGGAAACUGGGGAACUUGAGUGCAGAAGAGGAGAGUGGAAUUCCACGUGUAGCGGUGAAAUGCGUAGAGAUGUGGAGGAACACCAGUGGCGAAGGCGACUCUCUGGUCUGUAACUGACGCUGAGGCGCGAAAGCGUGGGGAGCGAACAGGAUUAGAUACCCUGGUAGUCCACGCCGUAAACGAUGAGUGCUAAGUGUUAGAGGGUUUCCGCCCUUUAGUGCUGCAGCAAACGCAUUAAGCACUCCGCCUGGGGAGUACGGUCGCAAGACUGAAACUCAAAGGAAUUGACGGGGGCCCGCACAAGCGGUGGAGCAUGUGGUUUAAUUCGAAGCAACGCGAAGAACCUUACCAGGUCUUGACAUCCUCUGACAACCCUAGAGAUAGGGCUUCCCCUUCGGGGGCAGAGUGACAGUGGUGCAUGGGUUGUCGUCAGCUCGUG